AACGAACGCUGGCGGCAGGCCUAACACAUGCAAGUCGAGCGAGCAUUUCGGUGCUAGCGGCGGACGGGUGAGUAACGCGUGGGAACGUGCCCUUUUCUGCGGACUAGUCCUGGGAAACUGGGGGUAAUACCGCAUACGCCCUUUUGGGGAAAGAUUUAUCGGAGAAGGAGCGGCCCGCGUUGGAUUCGGUAGUUGGUGGGGUAAUGGCCCACCACGCCGACGAUCCAUAGAUGGUUUGAGAGGAUGAUCAGCCACACUGGGACUGAGACACGGCCCAGAAUCCUACGGGAGGCAGCAGUGGGGAAUCUUAGACAAUGGGGGCAAUCCUGAUCUAGCCAGGACGGUUGAGCGCUGAAGGUCUUAGGGUUGUAAAGCGCUUUCAGCUGGGAAGAUAAUGACGGUACCAGCAGAAGAAGCCCCGGCUAACUCCGUG
rnacentral:rRNA from 1 species